rnacentral:rRNA from 1 species
GAUGAACGCUGGCGGCGUGCCUAAUACAUGCAAGUCGAGCGAACAGAUAAGGAGCUUGCUCCUUUGACGUUAGCGGCGGACGGGUGAGUAACACGUGGGUAACCUACCUAUAAGACUGGAAUAACUCCGGGAAACCGGGGCUAAUGCCGGAUAACAUUUAGAACCGCAUGGUUCUAAGUGAAAGAUGGUUUUGCUAUCACUUAUAGAUGGACCCGCGCCGUAUUAGCUAGUUGGUAAGGUAACGGCUUACCAAGGCAACGAUACGUAGCCGACCUGAGAGGGUGAUCGGCCACACUGGAACUGAGACACGGUCCAGACUCCUACGGGAGGCAGCAGUAGGGAAUCUUCCGCAAUGGGCGAAAGCCUGACGGAGCAACGCCGCGUGAGUGAUGAAGGUCUUCGGAUCGUAAAACUCUGUUAUUAGGGAAGAACAAAUGUGUAAGUAACUGUGCACGUCUUGACGGUACCUAAUCAGAAAGCCACGGCUAACUACGUG